rnacentral:lncRNA from 7 species
UCUGAUCUCUUGGGUCCUGGUGGGUGGAGUUAAAAGCCAGCUGGACAUGAUUGGGAUCAAUUGUCUAUACCUGGUGUGAAUUACUAGAAGUGCACCAAAUGAAAGCUGAUAGAAGUUUUCAACAGCAUUGAGCAAGAUUUCCAGCUAUCCCUAACUUUAAGGAGAAUCCCGUAUUUCCUGAAUAUGUUGAAUGAGUUAGGGUUGUUGCAGUCUUUGGAGGUGCAAGAGGCAGCUUGAACCAUCCAGAUGAAAUGCUGAAAGUGAGAAAGUGCAUUUUCAUCUUAGUUCUGGCUCCCCGGAACUGAAGUUGUUUGUUCCUCAGUGCUGUGAGUUGUGGGCUUCAAAGUAUUGAAGGGUAGAUUCCAAGCUCAGAAAAGCAGAGCAUUUUCGUUAGCACUGGAAACGUAUGUCAAAAAGCAUUAUAUACGCUCUUCAGCUCCUUUUAUGUCAGCAGAAAUGCUUACCUGAUGUUUGUUCACUUGUAUCAGAGAAAAUGAUUGGAAAUUUCAAAGCAUGUGAUUUUAUUUUCUCAAAAAGUUAUGGAUAUCCAAGAACAAUUUUCUUUAUAAAAUAUUUAAAAUGUUGAACUCAUACCUACAUAAUCAUACUGUUUGCUACAUUCUUUUCUGUUUCACAAAGCUUUGAAGACAUAGAAAGAGAAAACAAUGCUCCUUUUUUCUCUCUUCCAUAGGAACAUUUUAUCACAAACUGAGGAAAGUGAGACAAGCAGACAAAAUAAUUAGGGAGGAAACAGUCUGAGAUACCUCUGUUUGUAGAAACAAGCUGUCUGUAGCUAAUUCAAGUUACCUAAAUUUCACGAAUGUAGGUACGCAAGUCAUUAUCUAUUGUCUCCCAGAAGGAGUAUUAAUUAAAUAGAUUUAUGUUCCAUUGUCUGAAAAAUUUUCUUGCAGAAUUUUUUUUUUUAAGCUAAAGCUGCUUUGAAUACCAAACAGAAUAAAGAAAGCAACAGUUUUAUAAGUGUGCAAUGCAAAUACCUUAAGAAAAUAGUGUUUGGGGAUUAUUAGCAUUCAGGUAUCUCACUGGUCAGUGUGAUCCACUACACAUGAAUCUUUUACAUUUAAGAAUACUUGCUUUCUUCUUCCCAUCUUUCCAUUAUGGCAGAAUGACUACUGAUAUGCGUAUCUGGAGCUAGAAAAUAUUUGGAGAAGGAAAAAUUUUAAGAGGUGGUCUAUUGAAAACAUGCAAAGAUAGAGCCUAGCUGAGAUCAUUAUUUCAGUUAUUUAUUUCUCCAGUUGAAGAAUAAUGUCACAUCUGUGCUUAAUCUGCUGAUAGCAUAUUAGAGUUGUCACAAACAUUAAAUAUAUUAAAGUAUUGAAGAAUUUAAAAUACUUCACUAUUUAAAGAUUGAAUGCUUAAUUUUUACCAUGAAUGUCUAUUCUUAAACAACUUUUACAUUUAAUUCUUUGUUGGAUCAGUCAGCCUAUUUUUUCAUGAAACAGAACAUCAUCUAGGAUGAGGUUUAAUAUUUGCACUCUAACUAAAAGCUCAUAUGAGACGUUGUGCUUAGUUGAGUUCCUUUAAAAAAUAAGUAAAUAAAAGUUUAUUGCUCAACAUCAGGGGGAAGAUGCAACUAUUUGCCAUGUUCAAUUUUUUCUCUGAAAUAAUUUGCCAUUCACAUCCUUUAUCUUUUGUUUGUUACCAAAUGACAAUAAAGUGAAUAAACUUUGUCAGUACUGAAGUCAUAUGAGACUUAUUUAGGGUGUUUAAAAAAAAAUAAUUACAAGCCUCUGCAACAGAUAAAUAUGUACCACAUAUUACCUUUAUAUUUUAUAUCAAGUUCAGUCAUUUCAGUGUAGUCAGUUUUCCAUUUGUAUGAAUUUGUUCUCAUUUUCUUUUAUCUAUGCCCAGAGUGAUUUCUAACAUAUACAUGUACUUAUUCAAAAUAAUACAGACUUGAUAAAAUAGGGUGCUGUGUUCCUUUUAUAUCUGUAUCUUUAUUUCCCAUUUCCAAAGAGGAAAUAAAGGGAGAAUUCCACCUAUCCCCUGCCUCCAUCUAAAGAAAAGAACAAAGUAAGGGUACAAAGUUGUGAUUUAAAAUGGAUUUUUUGGUGAAAACUUGAACUAAUUCUUGAUCCAGCUUUGUCUUUCUGUGUUUAUGCAAUUCAUACUAGUCUGCCACCUGUGUGCCAGGUCUAUCUGUGGAUGGGAUGGACCAAUUUCUCCUAUGGCUUUAGGUGUUCUAGGACUCCUUAUGAAGGCAUUAAGUGAUCUCCAUCAGCUUCUGUGUUGGAUCUUCCAUAGAGGCAGUUCAAGUCAGAGCCUACAUGUCAAGAGAAUUUUACUUGCUAAAAAUGUCCUUAGAGCUCCUUGAGGUAUUUAUCCUCAUAGCAUUUUGUUAGAGGUACACUGUCCUAAAUAUGUAAGUUGAUGCAAUGUGUAUAGUUUUAUUAGUCUAGAGCCUCACUAAUUUAGUUCCCUGAGGAAUUACCAGCAGUAAUUCAGUCAGGUGUCAUCUUUUAUUAAUUACUUUCAUGUGACUAGGGUCUUAUGUCAGUCUUCAAAUGUUUCUUUCAUUAGUUCUCUGUUGUCUGCAGGAUGUCUCUGUUCCUCUCUGUCAUGGGGUUUAUAAGAGUAAAAUGAGAGGAAAUUGUAGUAUCUAGGCUUUUUGACUAAUAUUAAAAUACAUUUAUCUCUUUGUAUGGCUGAGCUGCUUGUCCCACUGAUGUGAGAUAUUUGUAACCUGUCCUAACUCAAAUCUGCUUAACUCGAACUUGAUUUGCAAUAAAAACUAAGGGCGGAGGGUGGAAAAUCCCACUCUUCCACUCAACCUGUGGC